rnacentral:rRNA from 1 species
GACGAACGCUGGCGGCGUGCUUAACACAUGCAAGUCGAACGAUGAAGCCGGAGCUUGCUCUGGUGAAUUAGUGGCGAACGGGUGAGUAACACGUGAGUAACCUGCCCUUGACUCUGGGAUAACUGCUAGAAAUGGUAGCUAAUACCGCAUAGGCCGGCAAAGACGGGCGUCUUUGUGGGCAAAGCUUAUGGCGCUACGCGAGGGGCCUGCGUCCGAUUAGCUGGUUGGUGAGGUAACGGCUCACCAAGGCUGUGAUCGGUAGCUGGUCUGAGAGGACGAUCGGCCACACGGGAACGGAGACACGGUUCCGACUCCUACGGGGGGCAGCAGUGAGGAAUAUUGCACAAUGGGGGCAACCCUGAUGCAGCAACGCCGCGUGGGGGAUGAAGGCCUUUGGGUCGUAAACCCCUUUUCUCGAGGAAGAGGAAGGACGGUACUCGAGGAAUCAGUCACGGCUAACUACGUGCCAGCCGCCGCGGUAA